rnacentral:rRNA from 1 species
UACGUAGGGUGCGAGCGUUAAUCGGAAUUACUGGGCGUAAAGCGUGCGCAGGCGGUUUUGUAAGCCGAAUGUGAAAUCCCCGGGCUUAACCUGGGAAUGGCAUUCGGGACUGCAAGGCUGGAGUGCGGCAGAGGAGACUGGAAUUCCUGGUGUAGCAGUGAAAUGCGUAGAUAUCAGGAGGAACACCGAUGGCGAAGGCAGGUCUCUGGGCUGACACUGACGCUCAUGCACGAAAGCGUGGGGAGCAAACAGG